rnacentral:lncRNA from 1 species
CGCAUGUCACGGACGACUCGAUUUGGAGUUUCCUUCAAAGGGAAGGAAUCGAAACGAAGACCUUUUUCUAUGGAAGCACCUGUUCUUCUAACAUUGGCAGAUGACAUAUCUCCAACGAAACUUGAAAUCCAUGAGGACACAGCCCAGUAAAACUUAGUAAUAAAAUAUAAUCAACAAACUAAAUUAGAAACUAUCUCAGUGAGCUAGAAUGGUCCAAAUUUUUGUAAAAAUGAGGCAAACCAUUGAAUUCAUUAGGCAUCCUUUUGUAGAGGCAUAUACUCAGAGGAGGAUAUUUCAAUUUAUUGUGCAUUAAGGCAAUAUUAGUACCGUGUCGAUAAACAACCAAUGUUCACAUCGUUACAUCCUCAAUUAUUCUCGUCGAUUAGAGAGGAUAUUUGUGAGGAAACAUUUAAUAUCACCUAUCUUUUCUACAGCCUAACAAAGAAAAAGAUGUAGUUUGUCAUUGAAGAAAUUGUUCCUUUCAUUAAAAACAAAAUUUAAUGAGCCAAGAUUUAUUUGCUAAAAUCUUAGGCAUGGGUGGGUGUAUUUAUAGAAGUCUUAUCCUCCGAAGCAUAAGUAAAUGUAUGUUUAUUGAAUAUUUUAAUUAUACAAUCACUAAAAGGUAGAAUAGAAUAAAGUGAGAGAAGGGCAAAAUAUAAUAAAGAAAAUAGCUAGGGGUAUUUACCUACUUAUGCCUUGAUCAAAUUCCCUCCUCAUGCCGCUACAUUAUUGAUCUUGGUAGCCUGGCAAACCAUGGAGGAGGUCCGAGAUGCCGGCGUUUCAGUUUUAAGCUACUUAUGCUUGCAUCUAGCGGACAAUAUAUACUUCUAAUUUUCUGUUUCUAAAGAUUAGGCGGAAUCUUCAAAGGAACCUACAAUUAGUAAAUAGUAGUUGAAACUUUAAGACAUUCUUCCAUCUUGAAAACUGAGAUAGAGCGAGGCCCAAGGACUCACCAGUAGAUGCACAUAGUUCAAAUUUUGUGUAAAACACUUGAGGUGAUAAAAUCAAAUUAAGCAAACUACUAAAGAGCAGUACCUCCAUUACAGCAGAAGUUUUUUUAUUAACUAUGAUGCAUCUGACACAGAAAGGCACAAAUUAGCAGGGAAGACAAAAAUGGAACUGGAUUAUUAAAACUAAUUUGGUUAGUAAAACCAAAGUAAAAUUAAACCAGCUUACCUGGCACCUGGUGUGAGUUUGCAUACAGAUUCUAAAUAUGCAGAAAGGGUGUUACAUACUAUCCAAGAUUUCACUGUCAAGCUUAAUCUUGUACUGGUGAAAAUAAAAAGAAAAGCAUCAAAGGAUUAGUACCAGAAGUAAGUUCAUCUGCAACUAUAUAAAUUAUUAAUGCAAUCAAGCCUAAUGUUUGCUAUAUCUACUUUUAUAAAAUUCGGAUACCUGUUCCUUGUAUCAAAUGAUAUUUGAACUUUGUAUUUGACACCAAGUACAUAACACGGAUACUACAGCAAGCAGGUCUGUACAGUUUUUCUGAAACCCAAAGCAAAAAUCUUGCAGUCGACC